GAUCAUGUACAAGAAUUUACCCAGGAAUCAAUUCACGAGUACACAAUCACGAAGUGCACGACCAGUGCUAACAGGUAAGAGCAAGGUACAAGUAUAUAGCAUACAAGUAACAAUAAAGAGAGAACAUCUAUCUAUUACAUCCAUUCAAUUCACAAAUUUACAUCUCAUUUACAUUACAUUUAAACUUCCAAAAUAUAAACAUAAAGCUUACAUUUCCAAAAUGAAACCUCACACCCUAUACAUCAUCUACUCUCAAGUACAACGGGUGGCUCUAAUGCAAAAGGAAGGUAAGCUAAUGCAACUAGGGCGCUAGGCCCUUACCGCGAUCCUCGCCGGGUGAACUCGCACUCGGCCCUGCAAUAAAGUGGGGUGAGAACUAUUGUCCAUAGUUCCCAGUGGGUUCGGCCGCCGACUCCGCCGGUCUCCCCACUAGGUCCAAGUGGGCACAAAUAGAUAAACAGAUAGAUAGAUAUGGAAAGCUGUAAGGACAGAAUAGAAAACUACACUACUAUACCCGAAUCAUAAAUAUAUGAAUGCACGUUCAUAGAAAUAGGUAAGCAACUAACUCGUCAUCAUGUCCAAGAAGUAAAGCUAUUUACUUGUUCAUUAAUCUCAUGGCUCACCCGAGGGUUCGCCUACUACUCACAUAGCCAUCUUGACGCGUAGGGAGACUCAACUCAAACUACGAAUCCGAGACCGUCUGCGGGACCCCACAUAGGCUAUCCCUCGGGACCCCAAAUAGGCUAUCCCUAUCCCACGGGACCCCAAAUAGGCUAUCCCACGUGACCAACUCCGGAGCGCACUACUUGUGUGGAGCUACCAUCACAAGUUCUGAACAGACAGUGAGUAUAAUCCAAUCCUCUUAUCUCGAGGAUACCCUAUCCUCUAGGGUUACUAUCAUCGGAAAGUCAAUAGGUUUCAUAUACACUAAGACUCACAUAUGCCACUCGUUCUUUGUUUACUAUCAACUAGGUGCCACUCGUUCUUUUGUUUAUUAUCAACUAGAUGCCACUCGUUCUUUUGUUUUCAACCAUCGAGUCCAUUUUCAUCUCUGCAUUAUAGGAUUCAUAAGUCUCGACCCAAUCCUCAUCAAUCCACUAUAUCAAGCAACUAAUGUACACUAUGAUAUCAUCUAGGAAAGCAUAAGGAAAGGCAAUGCACAAUUAUCCUACAAUGCAUGUGAAUACAAGAUGCAAGAUUUCAAUGUACUAAGACAUAGGAGGGAGUCCAGUUGCUUCGGGAUGGUCACCACCCACCUCUUGGUAGUGCCACGAAAUUAGAAAACCCAACGUCGCUUCAACUCCUCGGGGCAACCAAACCCUCAAGUACUUGUUUUGGCGAUAACUCCGCACCCGCUCGUCGGAUCGACGAACCGUCUUCGCCAACGUUUUUAUAGACCUAGCAAUUAGGUUUACAGAGGGUUAAUUGAGAUCAAACCCCCAUAUUUCCAAAAAUUGCAUUUUGAACCCUAGGUUUCAACUUUUGCAAAAAUUCACAAAAUUGAUCCAUGAUUUAGGCAACAAUCAUCUAUUUAGCAUCAUAGGAUUCCAAUAAAUCCAUUUUUAUAGCAUAUAAAUAAAGCCCUAAAAUUCUACCAUUAUAGGGUUUUGAAGUGCCCUAGGUUUCAACAACGAGGAAAUCCAUGGUUCAAGCUUCAAAUUCGAGCUAGGACCAUCUAACUAGCUCCAAUAGGUUCCAUUCGAACCAAUUCUAAACCAUAAAACCCUAUCUUAAGGAAUCUACCAUUAUAGGGUUUUGGAGCUUACCUCUAAAAGCUUCUCCGAGGUUGAGGGAGAGGAGGAAGAAGAUGAUCUUCCUCUUCUUGGUCUUCUUCUCCUUCCUUCUUUCUUUUCUUUUUCCUUUCUUUUCCUUCUCCUUUCCUUCUUCUUUCUUUCUUUCUUUCUUUCUUUCUAGAGAGAGAGAGGGAAAAGAAUGUGAGAGUGGGAGAGAAUGAGAGAACGUGAGGGAGAAGGUGUGUGUGUGUGUGUGUGUGUGUGUGUACACGCAUGCAACCAGCCCACAUGUAGGUGCUGUAACAAUUGCACAAAACCCCCUCUCACACCUAUUACAACUUGUAGUUUCGCAGUUUGGAACAGUCGGAGCCCUUUUGAAUGUCCGUUUGCGCUCAAAUUCGACAGGCAGGCUUGGUUUAAUGUACUGAGCAAGAAUAUAUCUUAAGUUUUCAGUUUCGACCCCGUUUGGUCACCGAAAACUAUGCCAAACUGUAAUCUUUAGCAGAUAGCAGUUCGAUUUUAUUCUCCACCUUCCGGGUGUCAGAAUGGGCCAAAACUUUAAAUCUAACCUCAUAAAAAUAAUUCUGACGUAUCCUCCAGUUUUCAUAAUUUUCUGACACUGUACAUUUUCUGCUAAUUUCUCUGCCCCGUUUCUCAUAGAAAAUUCUAAAUUUUCUGUUUUCGCUCCGAUUUCAGUACAGGUCAUUUCCAACUUAUAUUUUACUUCUAUGAGUCCAAUAAAAUAGUAUCUCAUACUAUUUUUAUUUAUAUUUAUUUUUAUAAUAAACUCCGACAUACUAUAUCCUAACGUAACUUCUUAUUUUCAGAAGUUCGGUAUCCUACAAGAGGGCUACUAGAGUCCUCUUCUAUGUCCACACUCCAAAACCCUAGGAACUAGGUAGAAAUCGCAAAGAGAAAGAAGAGAGAGAAGAAGGAAGAUAGAUCGUAGAUUCUCUUAGAUCAAAUUAGAUCGUAUGAUACGGGAGAGAAAAUGGGACAUAUUUAUAGAAUAACGGAACCCCUAAAAUAUCCCGAAUCUGACAUAGAGAUUAGGAUUAGGAUAUUCAUAAUAGACAUCUACUAGGAAAUACGUUUCUUACCUAAUAAGAAGCAUUUAAUCCAUCCUUAUCUUUAACUUAUAAGGAUAAACAGGAUCGGGUUAAAUUAAUAUUCGCCAAUGUGGACGCACUAUAUGGCAACUAGGGGUGGAAACGAGCCGAGCUCGAGCGAGCUUACCUCGGCUCAAAUUCGGCUUGAAAUUAAUUUCGAGCUUAAAUUUAAGCUCAAGCUUGGAUUGAAANCGAAUCCUCAUCAAUCCACUAUAUCAAGCAACUAAUGCAUAAUAUGAUAUCAUCUAGGAAAGUAUAAGGAAAGGCAAUGCACAAUUAUCCUACAAUGCAAGUGAAUACAAUAUGCAAGAUCUCAAAGUACUAAGACAAGGGGAGUCCAGUUGCUUCGGGAUGGUCACCACCCACCUUUUGGUAGUGUCGCGAUAGUAGAAAACUCGACUUCGUAGUCCUUGGUUGACGCUUCGACUCCUCGGGUCGAUUCGAACCCCUAAGUGCUUGGUUCGGCUAUAUCUUUGCACCCACUCGUCGUAUCGAUGAACCGUCUUCGCCGACGCGUUCAGAGACCUAGCAAUUAGGUUUACAACCCGUCGAAAUAGAUCAAGACCCCACGUUUUCAAAAAUCCCAAAACACGCCAUAGAAUGGCAACGAGGGAGAAAUCUAUGGUUCAAGCAAUAAAACCCAAUCUCAAGAAAUCCACCAUGGAUGGGUUUGGGGCUUACCUCUAUACCAAGAUCCAAGCUUGCUCUAACUUGAAGGAGAGAGGGAAGAAGAUGAUAUUCUUCUUCUUCUUGGUCUUCUCAUUCCUCUUUCUCUUUUUUUCCUUCUUUCCCUUCUCUCCUUCUCUUUUUCUUUUCCUUUCGUUCUAGAGAGAGAGAGAGGGAGAGAGAGAGAGAGCAAAUGAGAUAAAUGGGAGAGGGAGAGAGGUCCCCCACCUCUCAUAUAGGCCAUUUUACAAAUAGGCCCCUCAACUUUCCAUCUAUUAAACAGCCCUCACUGGGCUGAUUUUGCAGCGAGGGACCGGUCCCAAGUCAGGGAGAUCGGUCCCUGAGAGCCUUCCAUCUCGGGCAGAGAGAGUUUCGUGUUCGGGAACCGGUCCCUGCUCGAGAGACCGGUCCCCGGGAGACCGGUCCUUGCCUCGGAGACCGGUUCCCGAGAGUUAGAUUUUCGGGACUUAACCAAAUUUCGGCUAUUUCUCGCUGGGUUAACGUUCGGGGACCGGUCCUCCCCUGCCAGGGACCGGUUGCAUCAAGGAUCCCCGCAAGCCCAGCCUAAUGGGACUGGUCCGUCCCUGCCAGGGACCGAUCCCCGAGAGCAAUUAUGCUCCAGUGCAGAUUUUGCACUGCUGCUCUCGCGGACUCUUCCUUAAUGCACUUUAUGCAUUAUAAUCACCUUCGGACUUUCCGGAGCUUACUCACUCGACAGCUAGUCGAUUCUAGACGAAGUCAAAUCCUCAGAUUUCGAGAAUUCACUUCCUUACAUCCUUCCCACCUUAAAAGAGUUUCGUCCUUGAAACAAACUCAAUACUACAAAACUUAUUUAGAACUUUAAAUUCUAAACUCAUACCUUGAUUUAAUCCUCGAACAAGUGAGGGUGAUUCGCUUUCAUCUCCUUCUCGAGCUCCCAGGUGGCUUCGCGAUCGCUAUGAUUGCUCCACCGAACCUUAACAUAUGGAAUUUCUCGAUUCCUUAACUUGCGCACUUCACGAGCUGUAAUUGCAACCGAAAACUCCUCGUAGCUCAGGUCUUCCUGAAGUUCCGGCUGUUCAUACAACAUUGCGUGCUCGGGAUCAGGUAUGUACUUGCAAAGAUUGGAGACGUGGAAUAUAUUGUGCACAUCCGCGAGCUUCGGCGGCAAUGCUAAUCGAUAAGCCACCGUCCCAAUCCGCUCCAAGAUCUCAUAAGGGCCAAUGUAUCGGGGACUUAGUUUUUCCCGAACUCCAAAUCGCUUAACGCCUCGCUUGGGCGAAACCUUCAAGAAAACGCGGUCGCCUACCGCAAACUCCAAGUCUUGCCGGUGCCUAUCUGCAUAGCUCUGUUGUCGAGACUGCGCUGUGAGUAGCCUCUUGCGAGCAAGGCGGACUUUCUCUUCUGCCUCUCGCAAUACAUCGGGACCAAACUCCGUGCACUCGCCCACAUCGCUCCAAUAAAUGGGAGAUCGGCACUUCUGCCCAUAAAGAGCCUCGAAUGGUGCCAUCUCCACACUAGCAUGGUAGCUGUUGUUGUAGGCAAACUCGGCCAUCGGUAAAUACUUGCACCAUCCACCUUUAUAAUCAAUGACACACUCUCGCAGCAUAUCCUCUAGUGUUUGAAUGGUUCUCUCGGUUUGCCCAUCUGUCUGAGGAUAGAAUGCGGUGCUGAAAUCGAGCCGCGUGCCAAGAGCCUCCUGCAGGCUUUUCCAGAAAUGUGAAGUGAACUUGGGGUCUCUAUCCGACACAAUUGUCUUCGGUACCCCGUGCAACCUCACUACCUCAUCAAGAUAUACCUGCGCCAGCUUAUCUCCCGCCCAGGUGGUGUGGAACGGCAAAAAGUGCGCUUAUUUAGUCAAGCGAUCCACAAUCACCCAAAUUGCGUCGUGGCCCCCUGUCGAGCGAGGCAAGCCAACGACGAAAUCCAUCGAUAUGUCCUCCCAUUUCCAGACGGGGAUAGGUAGGCUUUGAAGCUUUCCUGCUAGAAAUCGGCGCUCCGCUUUCACUUGCUGACAAGUCAAACACUUCGCCACGAAGCGCCCAAUAUCAACUUUCAUCCCCGGCCACCAAUAGAGUGCUCUCAACUCAUGAUACAUCUUGGUGCCGCCCGGGUGAUCAGUAUAUGGAGACCGGUGAGCUUCUUGUAAAAUCAGCUCACGAAGCUCCUCAUUCUCGGGCACACACCACCGGUUUCGAAACCGAAGUGCGCCCCUGGCGUCUACACUGAAAUCGCCGCCUCGACCUUCCUCGAUGUUACGCCUCACCUUUUGGAGACUCGGAUCUGCAGGUUGCAAAAUCCUGAUCCUCUCUAACAAGGUUGCCUGAACAACGAGCGCCAUUAGUCGAGUCGGAGUUUUUGGAGUCACCACCUCGAGAUCUAUUCGCUCCAUGUCCAACCAUAGGGGCGAUUGAUUAGUAACCCACAUUGCGAGGUUCUCCGCCGACUUCCUACUAAGCGCGUCCGCGACCACAUUCGCUUUGUCGGGGUGGUAGAGAAUAUUGACAUCAUAAUCCUUUAACAACUCCAACCAUCGCCAUUGACGCAUAUUCAACUCCUUCUGGGUAAAUAGAUAUUUCAGACUUUUGUUGUCGGUGUAGAUCUCGCAGUGCGCGCCAUAUAGGUAGUGCCUCCACAACUUCAACGCAAAGAUCACCGCCGCCAACUCCAAGUCAUGAAUGGGAUAAUUCUUCUCAUGGUCCUUUAACUGACGGGAUGCAUAAGCUAUCACUCUCCCGCCUUGCAUCAGGACACACCUCAAACCCAGAUAGGAUGCAUCACUAUAGACCGCAAAGUCCUCGCCCUGCACCGGUAAGGCGAGUAUCGGAGCCGAAGUUAACCUUUCCUUUAACUCGUUAAAACUCCGGUCACAACCGUCGCUCCAAAUAAACUUGACGCCCUUUUGCGUCAGACAGGUGAGCGGAGUCACAAUCUUCGAAAAACCCUCCACAAACCGUCGAUAGUAACCCGCUAAGCCUAUAAAGCUUCGGACCUCCGAGACGUUCGUUGGGCGCGGCCAAUUCUCAACUGCUUCGACUUUUCUCGGGUCAACUGAAACACCGCCCUCAGAAAUCACGUGCCCCAGGAAGGCGACCUCUCGAAGCCAGAAGUCACAUUUCUUUAGCUUCGCAAAUAGCUUCUCCUCCCGAAGGAUUUGAAGCACUAUUCGCAAAUGCUCCGCAUGCUCCUCGUCGCUCCGCAAAUAGACCAAGAUGUCGUCUAUGAAGACCACGACAAAUCGGUCCAAGCACGCCUUGAACACACGGUUCAUUAGAUCCAUGAAUGCUGCCGGGGCAUUAGUGAGCCCGAAAGGCAUAAUCGUGUACUCAUAGUGUCCAUAUCGCGUGCGAAACGCGGUUUUCUGAACAUCCUUCGACUUAAUCUUUAACUGAUGAUAGCCGGAUUGUAGGUCUAUCUUCGAGUACACUCGUGAUCCCUGUAACUGAUUGAAUAAGUCGUCGAUUCGGGGCAACGGGUACUUAUUCUUUAUCGUGACCCUAUUCAACUCUCGAUAAUCCACGCAGAGUCGAAACGAGCCAUCCUUCUUGCACACGAACAACACCGGGGCUCCCCACGGCGACACGCUCGGCCUGAUAAACCCCUUGUCGGGGAGAUCUUGCAACUGAUCCCUCAGCUCCCUUAGCUCUGCCGGCGCCAUACGAUACGGAGCCUUUGAGAUCGGCGCCGUCCCGGGAGCCAAGUCUAUAACAAACUCGAUCUCCCGAUCCGGCGGCAUCCCCGGUAACUCCAUGGGAAAUACAUCUGGGAAUUCCCGCACCACCGAUAAUUCUUCUAAAUUCGGAGCCACUCCCACAACGGUAGCCAAAAAUGCUACGCAGCCGCCGUUGACCAACUUUCUAGCUCUCGUCGCUGAUACCAUCGCAACGAAGCAAGAAUUUCGACAAGCUCGAUAAACGAACUCCUUCUGUCCGGGCUCCCGAAAGGUGAUCAAUUUGUUCUUACAAUCGAUCAUAGUGUAAUAUUUUGAGAGCCAGUCCAUGCCCAAAAUAACGUCAUACGCCUCUAAUUUAUUGAGUUCCAACAUCCUAAUGGGCAUUAUCCACUUGCCUACUUGCACUGGGCACGACGAGCACUCUGUGUAGGUAUUGAAUGACGACUCAGGGCCUUCCACUCGCCACUUGCCACUUGCUUCUAUGUGUAUGUCGUGCAUGCAUGCAAAUGCUCUACUAAUGAACGAAUGCGUGGUACCUGUAUCAAAGAUAGCCCUGGAGCGAACUCCGUUAAUUAAAACCAUACCUGCCAUGACGUCAGGCUCCUCGGCUUGGGUAGACUCCUCGGUUUGGGCCUGAGCGGCAAAUACCCGCCCGCUCGGUGCUGACCGGGUCACCUCCGGCUGACGCAGCAUCAGUGCGCGUCCCGCUGAUACGGGAACAUAUGGGGCCCCUCCAUGAUGAGGCGGGGGUGCUAGAGUUGACGCCGCUGACGGAGUAGACGAGGCCCUUGCUGGACAGUCGCAGCUUAUGUGCCCUUCCUGCCCGCAGUCGUAGCAUUUACCUUGACAUUGCUUACACUGCGGCGCUCGAUGACCUCGGCCUCCACAGAUAAUGCAUUGCUGCAGCCCACGGCCCCACGACUGCGACCGUGGAUACUUCGGGGGCCUCCUGGAACUAGAUUGUGCCCCCGAACCACCGCCCGAUCGCUUCCUCCCCUUGUCUUGGGAUCCAGUCAACAACUCACGUUCCUCCCGUACGUGGGCAUCUCCAUACUCUGCCCACAGCGCUCUGUCGAAGACUUUAGCAAAGGUCGUGAGCUUGAACAGCUGCACUGCUCUAUAUAUCCAUGGCCGAUGUCCCCGCAGGAACCACUCGGCUUGAUCCGCGUCAUCUUUAACAACGUCUGGGACGCAAUCUAUAAUAUGGGAGAACUCCUGCUCGUAGUCUGCUACUGAACGAUCCCCCUGUCUCAAUUUGCAGAACUUUUCCUUCAACUUCCGCUUCUCGGUGUCGGGGAAGUAAUUUCCGAACAUUGCCCCCUUAAACUCCUCACAGAGCAUUGGUGGAAGGUCAGAGGGCCGAUCCCGCUUCAACCGCUUCCACCACACCUUCGCCGCCUUUUCGAGGCAAUGGGUGGCGAGGGGCACCUUAUCCUUCUCCAGGGUAUAUAAGUCCUCGAAGAGGGUCUCCAUAGAGUCAAUCCAAGACUCCACCAUCGACGGCUCCACUUUCCCCCCCUCAAAGGUUGGUGGUUUAAAUUUCAUGAAUUUCAUUAGAGCCGUCAGCGCACACUCUCGCUCUACUUCCUCGGCCGUCGUAUCAAGUGUCGCCGAACCAGAAGUUUUCGGAGGUGCACAUGUCGGCGGGGGAACUGCCGCCACCGGAACCGCCGCUAUGCCCUCACCCUCAGCCGCUUCAGGCGCGCGGGCUGAGGGUGCGGGUGGAUCACGGCUUCCAGUCGCUGUCGCGGCCGCCGCCGCCGCUGCCGCUCCACGAAUCCCUGGAGCUGCUCAAACCGAGCCUCCUGGCGCUGCAUCGCGCCCAACAAUGCAGCGACCUGCUCGCGCAGUUCCUGCACUUCCUCCGAUCUUGGCUGCUCGGGCACCGUAGUAGGCGGCACCGGAACAGACCUACGUACGUAACAUCUUGGGGACAUUUGCUCCUGAAAAGCAACAACUCGGUUAGUUAUCUUAAUCCGAUAACUUCUUAGCGUUCGCGAAAUUGAACGACUCGACAAUGAAAUCGGGCGGAAGUACGUAAGUGUUCUAGUGCUGGACCCUUAGCAUCGCGUCGUCGGCCGCCGACACAACCACUCCGAGCCAAGAAACUAGUGUCACUUGGAUCCGUCUCUAUUCACAGCUAGAGACAUAACAUCAACUCUGACCCAAUCGAUCAACUCCCGCCACCGUCAUGGGUUCGCGUUCACUCACGCCCCUACAAUCUUAGGGUUUACCAACCUAGGGUCUCCUAGGUCAUCCUAGACUCUCUCUUUACUUGCUCUUAACGCUCUGAUACCACUUUAUCUGUCACGCCCCGAGACCGCUACCAAUUCGGUCCGGUUCAAGCGCGUCAAACAGACGCCGAACGCACAGCACCUCCUCUGUCCGUCCAAGGCUAAGCAAACUGAUCAUGUAUAAGAAUUUACCCAGGAAUCAAUUCAUACAUACACGAUCACAAGGAGCACCACUAGUGCUAACAAAUAAGAGCAAGAUACAAGUAUGAGACAUACAAGUAAAUAAAGAGAGAAGGUUCUAUCUAUUACAUUCAUUCAAUCUCUUUAAUACAUCGAUUUACUUUCAAAAUAUGAACAUAAAUAUAACAUGCUUUUACAUCUUCCAAAAUAACCUCACACCUAUACAUCAUCUACUCUCAAAUACAAAGGGUGACGGCUAAUGCAAAAGGAAGUAAAGCUAGCUAUGUACAUAUACCACUAGGGCGCUAUGCCCUUGCCACGAUCCUCGCGCUCGCAGGGGGCACUCGAACUCGGACCUGUAGAGAGUGGGGUGAGGACUAUCUUCUAUAGUUCCCAGUGGGUUCGGCCGCCGACUCCGCCGGUCUCCCCACUAGGUUCAAGUGGGCACAAGUAGAUAAACAAAUAGAUAGAUAUGGAAAGCUGUGAAGACAGAAUAGUAAAGCUACACUACUAUGCCCGAAUCAUGUAUAUGAAUGCAUGCACAAUGAAAUAGAUAAUCAACUAGCUCGUCACAUGUCCAAGAAGUAAAGUUAUCUACCUGUCCAUUAAUCUCGUGGCGCACCCGAGGGUUCGCCUACAACUCACAUAGCCAUCUCGACGCAUAGGGAGACUAGACUCAAACUACAAUCCGAGACCGUUUGUGGGACCCCACAUAGGCCAUCCCUCAGGACCCCAAAUAGGCCAUCCCUAUCCCACGGGACCCCAAAUAGGCUAUCCAACGUGACCGACUCCGGAGCGCACUACUUGUGUGGAGCGACCAUCACAAGUUAGGAACAGACAGUGAGUAUGAUCCCAUCCUCUCAUCUCGAGCAUACCCUAUCCUCUAGGGUUACUAUCACCAUAAGUCAAUGGGUUUCAUAUACGCUACGACUCACAUAUGCCACUCGUUCUUUGUUUAUUAACAACUAGAUGCCACGCGUUCUUUUGCUUUCAACAAAUGAGUCAUUCUUUCAUCUCUGCACUAUAGGAUUUACAAGCCUCGACCCAAUCCUCAUCAAUCCACUAUAUCAAGCAACUAAUGCAUAAUAUGAUAUCAUCUAGGAAAGCAUAAGGAAAGGCAAUGCACAAUUAUCCUACAAUGCAAGUGAAUUCAAUAUGCAAGAUCUCAAAGUACUAAGACAUAAAGGGGAGUCCAGUUGCUUCGGAAUGAUCACCACCCACCUUUUGGUAGUGCCGCAAUAGUAGAAAACUCGACUUCGUAGUCCUUGGUUGACGCUUCGACUCCUCGGGUCGAUUCGAACCCCUAAGUGCUUGGUUCGGCGAUAUCUUCGCACCCACUCGUCGUAUCGACGAACCGUCUUCGCCGACGCGUUCCGAGACCUAGUAAUUAGGUUUACAACCCGGCGAAAUAGAUCAAGACCCCACGUUUUCAAAAAUCCCAAAACACGCCAUAGAAUGGCAACGAGGGAGAAAUCUAUGGUUCGAGCUUCAAAUCCGCUGCUAGAACCCUCUAUUUAUCUCCUCUAGGUUCCAUUCGAACAACCUCUAAGCAAUAAAACCCAAUCUCAAGAAAUCCACCAUGGAUGGGUUUGGGGCUUACCUCUAUACCAAGGUCCAAGCUUGCUCUAGCUUGUAGGAGAGGGAAGAAGAUGAUCUUCUUCUUCUUCUUGGUCUUCUCUUUCCUCUUUCUCUUCUUUUCCUUCUUUCCCUUCUUCUCCUUCUUUUCUUCUUUUCUUUUCGUUCUAGAGAGAGAGAGGGAGAGAGAGAGAGAGCAAAUGUGAUAAAUGGGAGAGAGAGAGAGAGAGGUCCCCCACCUCUCAUAUAGGCCAUUUUACAAAUAGGCCCCUCAACUUUCUAUCUAUUAAACAGCCGUCACUCGGCUGAUUUCACAGCGAGGGACCGGUCCCAAGUCGGGGAGACCGGUCCCCGAGAGCUUUUCAUCUCGGGCAGAGAGAGUUUCUCAUUCGGGAACCGGUCCCUGCUCGAGAGACUGGUCCCCAGGAGACCGGUCCUUGCCUGGGAGACGGGUUCCCGAGAGUUAGAUUUUCGGGACUUAGCCAAAUUUUGGCUAUUUCUCGCUGGGUUAAUGUUUGGGGAUCGGUCCUCCCCUGCUAGGGACCAGUUGCAUCAAGGAUCCCCGCAAGCCUAGCCUAAUGGGACCGGUCCGUCCCUGCCAGGGACCGGUCCUCGAGAGCAAUUCUGCUCCAGUGCAGAUUUUGCACUACUGCUCUCGCGGACUCUUCCUUAAUGCACUUUAUGCAUUAUAAUCACCUUCGGACUUUCCGGAGCUUACUCACUCGACAACUAAUCGAUUCUAGAUGAAGUCAAAUCCUCGGAUUUCGAGAAUUCACUUUCUUACAGAUAUGCUCCGAAACCUUCAAGACUUCAACUCAAUCUACGAAACUUGCCAACAUACAAGACUUAAUAAGUUUCGUCCCCAAAACUUGCCUGCAGGCAGGGAUGAUUCUGUACUUAACGAACCAGAACCAUACAUGCAUGCAAUGCAAAAAAGAUGCGUGAUAACGAAGCAUGCAAUUUACAACAACAACAACAUUAUACCCGUGACCACGUCAGCCGACUGAUCAUCCUCCUGACGUGUCAUCAUGUAGGCAUGUCCGUCAGUGGUCUGGUGUACCUUCUUUACCUGACGGGAUGUCGAGGGGCGUCCAGACGAAGGAUACGUUGUACUUCCAUGAUCCUGCCAUGGAGCUGCUGGAGUAGAUGCUGCUGCAGAUGCUGCUCCUACUCCACUGGUGCAAUCUGCCCGAAGGUGUCCACGUUGGCCACACAUGUAAUAGUGAUUGUGGCACUGUGGGCACUCGAUAACCUUGUGAGCCUCUCUGCAGAUAACACAAGGUCUGAUGCUCUGCUGCUGAGACGUAGCGGGGGCGCUGCUCGAUCCUUACUGCGCCUUGUGAUGCUUGGGUGGUCGUCUAUUGCCCGAUUGACCACCAGCAAAACUUUCCUGGGUACGCUUCCUACCCUCAGUCUUCACGGAUGCGUCCUGUUCGAUUCGAGCCUCGUCCAUAUCACUUUGCACCAUCAAGGCCCGAUCCAAGCUCUCGUCGAACGUCAACGCGCCAUGGGACGCGAUCAGAAGUCGAAUACCGGGCUUUAGCCCUCGCAAACAACCUUGCCUUGUGAUACUCAUCAUGAACCACGAAUAGAAUCAGUGAAAUAAUGCAAGAGAAGUCUCGUUCAUACUCUGCUACGGUAUGACUACCUUGCUUGAGACGCUCAAGCUCGCGCUCCAAGCUCUGCUUAGUGCUGUCCUUGAAGUACUGCUCGUAAAGGAGUUUACGGAACUCCUCCCAGCGUGGAUAGAUGCUCCCAAGUUUGCGCUCGAAGUGGCUGAUCCACCACGAAUACAAAUCCCCCUCAAGACAGUGAGCAGCUAGCGGUACGCGAUCCAACUCCUCGAUGUAUAGAUCAUGGAACAGUUUCUCCAUGUGGGUGGCCCAAUGCUCGAUCACCCAAGCGUCAUCAUUCUUUCCAGUGAACUUCGGCGGAUCGAAUUUUUGAAACUCUACCAGCCUUGCCCUGAUGUGAGUGCUCUCCACUGUAGGGGUAUCAGUACUCCUAGCGAAAACCGUCGUGGUGGCCGUCGGCGUCGUUGUAGUCACGGCUGGAGCUACGGUAGGCGCAUGCAUCGCGGGAGGAUCAACGAUCACCGGAGUGUCCUGUGCCGGAGGUGGAGCUGGGGUAGCAGUAGCUGCAGCCUGCUGCUGCAAGAACUGCUGAAACAAACCAGAGAGGGUCGUCAGCUGACCCCUCAAAUCAACUACCUGGGCCUCGAGCUGCUGAGUUCGAGUACCACUCAGCGGCUCCGUGCCCAACUGCUCCCUAUCACCCCCACUCAAAGGAGCACGGGUACUGCCGGAGGUUUUCGCACCAGCACGUCCACCACCACGACCCAGAAGAGGGGGUCUACCACGAGCCAUCUGCGACAGAAAACACCGUCAAGUGAACCAAUCGACUCGACAUACACACACACCGAGACUCAAGCCCAAUACAACGCACUCACAUGCUUAUAUGCCUUAGGUCUUCCUAUGGGUCAACCUAACCAGUGGUUCAGUUAGAAAUUUGUAAAUGCAGUUGUAGUUGUUUCACGCUCUGAUACCAUCUUAAUCUGUCACGCCCCGGGGCCCAUUUUAAAAGCUUUUUUAAAAUCCAUUACCAUUUUAGAAUUCAGAGUCGUGGAAGAUGUGCCACUUUUAUUUUAUUUUUUUCAACCUGGUCCAUGUGACGUACAGACCCGCCACAAAUACGAAGUUCCUCUGUCCACUCGGACAGAGUCUCCUUUGUAUUUGCACGGCGUACCAACUGUACAACAGGAUCUCAACCACAACCUACAUUUAUCAAUCAACAACUAAUUCAUGAUAUGCAUUUUCAUACAACUAUCGAUCCUUAGAGAUGAUGCAUGCCUCUAAGCACUCCUUAGGCGCUGGAUGAUGCAAUGCACAAUACAACAAUCAUCCUAUUUAAAAGUGCUCUCUGUCCGGAAAUAUUAUUUUUAAAAUCUAAUUCAAUUAUUUACAAAACCAAUUCAAAAAUCUUUUUAAAACUGUUUUUCACAUGGAAACUCUAUUUUGAAAACCAGCUACCUCGAGGGGUAGAAAACCACAAGUAUAAAUAUAACAGCCGAAAAUCCAUAAAACCAGAACCACAGAUCCACGAUUAUCCGUUCACAUCAUGAAUAACGAAAAUAUCCACAAAACCAAUCCACGAACAGACAAACAAUCAUAGAGAUUAUCUAACUGAACCAUUUAUUAAUAAAGACUACUAAAUGCAUAAAUAAGAAUAACCCGGGUGAUGGUCGCUAUUGCCGACUAGCUAGAACAUCCUCUCGUCGCGCCCAACACCAACUCCAAGCUCGAAUCACCUGGGAAAUGGGGGGUGAGAAACCGCAACCAUGGUUUUCCAGUGGGUACGACAGAGCCACGAAGGCAAGCCGUAAUCACCGAAAACCAAAGGAGAUAGAUAAACAAGAUAUAUAUAUACUGUGAUGCGAAAAGGAAACUACAAUUGCUAUAACAUGUAUAUAAGAAGCAAGAACUAAAACUGCUACUAUAUAGAAUCAAUGCAAGUAUGCCUCAAUGUAAUAAACUAGAAACUGUAGCCAAUCUGUGCCUGCUAUAUUCGUGCGCAGACUCAAGCGCUGCCUGUCACUAUCUGCACUGAGCUGAUCCAUACGCCCCACAGGACGACCCAUCCGGAUAAGUACACCUCCGAUCGGUGGCCAAACCGAUCCGGUGUCAUGAAUACCCACAAGUGCUCUGACUAAGUCAUGCCAGUAUGCUCAAACAAAAAUCAACUAAAGCCGGUGCCUAGGCCGAAGCCAGAAACAAGGGCGUACAACGCCGAGCCACGAUAGAUAUAAGGGCGUACAAUGCCGAGCCACGAUCAACCAGAUCGAAACACAUGACAAGAGAGUCGAUGUGUUGCCUGGACCCAAGGUCCACAGAGAUGCAAAGUACAAAUGCAAGCCUGCUCUACAUAUCUAUCCAUAUCUAUCCAAAUGCAAUCAACGAGAUAAGAUAACUGAACGAUAAACAAACAACGACAUGUAGAGUCUAUAAUGCUGGAAUAGAAAAACAGAAGGAGGUGAAACGCUCUCACCGACUACCAGCUCGAAGCACCCACUUGUCAUAAAAGCGUCGAAAACCUGGGUGCGCACAAUCAGCAACCGGACCUACGAAGAUCCACUAGGUCAGUAUUCAACACACUAACCAGAAGUACACUGUCGCACAAACCCCCACACAAGUCCUCGAAUCGGUUUCCCAAAAUCGAUCACCGCAACUCACCGGAAGUCUCGAAAACCACGUCGGGACGCCGUCGGGACCUACUAAGUGUCCUGAAACUCACCGACUCGUGUCAUGAGUCACCCGCUGCCACAAAACACUCCUGUUUGGAUGUCUUGGGAGCAAACACAAGAUAACACCACUAUACAAUUAUCGCCGGAUAAUUGUAGAAUACGGGUUCCCGGAAGCGUCUAUUUUGACACCGGAACCCACCGUCGCUCACCCAUCAUCACCGAACCCACAAAAUGAUGAUGGUGACCAGCCAACAAGACUCAGCGACAAUUCACAGGAUAAACAAAUCAUGUCGGAAGAAAUCAGAACUGAAACCGCGUUCUUUCGGCGAAUUUCGCCGAAAACGCACCGAAAUUGACUCCUCGAUUUCCGCAAAAGCUAACGGAUCAUGGACAAUUAGUCCAGAGGUCACUACACACAUAUACACACUGCCCACAGUAGCCACAAGGUGCACAAUUGCACAAAAGCCCCUGUAUUUACGUAAAAUCCUAAUAUUUUAUGUAAAUCGGGUGAUAAAAUGGCUCGUUCACGCAAACCGAGGACUCCCAAGGACCGCCGAGACACGCACUGACAGGUCUCGAUGUGCCGGAGGCCAAGCUCAAGGUCCGGAGCACAACGGCUCACUGUGGAAAGCGCGGGAGCAACUCGAAGGUUCUACAAACAGCGCGCAGUCGGGGAAAAUCGUGCCGAACAGGCCGAUUCGAUAUUCGCUGAUCCAAAGUAAGGUGAGCACUGUGAUCAGGUCUGACCAACGAUCACCGUUCUCACCUCCGGAGGUAUCGGAACAGCCUUAGAUCGCCGGAACAGUGCGCGCAAACCCAUAACAACAGCCAAACAGGCUCUACAGGGUCGACACCGUCGAAACAGCGAAACGGAGCCUUCCCGAUGGAAACUAAGGUGAGCACGAUGAUCAGAAAUUUGCCACGAUCAUCGUGCUCCCUUCCGCAAAGAUCGGGAGGCCUCAAAAGGCUCAGAACAAGAAACUGCCAAAGAAAAGCCCUAAAUCGGGCUUGGCCGGAGCAAGCUUGCUCCGGCCGGCCUCCGGCGGCACGGAAAGGUGCGCGCGGGCCAGGGAUGGGUGCGGGCGAGUGGAGGAGCAAGGUGCCCACCUCAUUUGGCAGCGAGGAGCGGCGGCGGCGACGGCGGAACCAACCAAGCCCGUACCAGAUCCGCUCGGGUUCUAAGGGCUGCUGCGGCCACGGCGACGGCCGGGGCACCUCGGGGCAGCGCCGGGGAAGGUGCAGGGAGGCAAAGCAGCCUCGGCCAAGGCUCCAACCCGAGAAGAGGAGAGGGGUGGAGAGAGAUGGAGAGAGAGAGAUGAAGAGGAAGGCUGCGACUGCUGCUGGCCGGCCGGGGCUGGGUCGGCAGCGGCGGCGCAGCAAGGGCAGGGUAACCAAGGGAGGCGGCUGGGGGUUUAGCUCGGACUAGGGUUAGGGUUUUCUUAGUGCAAACCCUAAAACAAGCAAAUAUACAAGGUGCAAUAUGCGAGUUAGCCCACGAAACCUCAGUAUUUAGUACUGAGUCCCUCACAGCGCAUGUACAAUGCGCGAAUACCCCUCCACGUGCGAUCUCACACAAAACGGUACAUAAAAUGUCACGACUUUUGUGAAAUUACCGUUUUGGUAACACCGACCUCUCCACGAUCAACGCGCGAUUUCUGCAGAUCCGUCUUUCAAAUUUGCGAAUGGAUUGCACCAUUGCGAUCAGCACGACGAAGACGACAAAGCUACAAUUUUGGUUCGCGUCGAUCGAUCACGGAUUUGCGACGAAAUCCGUUUCCUCUCCGAAAGGCCAAAAUGACGCUCAAAUACAUAAGAAACAUGUAUUUUCAGAUUUUCUCGAAAUCCGUGAGUCAAACCCAAAAUCCGUCAGUGCCAUUAGUUCCAGAAUGGCUGAAUCGUUCAAAACAAGCUAUUGGAUCGCUGUGAACCGAGUCCGAUACGAGCCUGAAGCCAACUUCACACUAUGGCUUCUCCGGAAAAUCGAGUUACUAUUCACCUUAAGUGAAACUUGGAGAUCACGUAAAAUCUCCGUUUUAGCUCGAUUUCUCCCGAAACUUGACGAGUGCUUUUGUAAUUAAAUUACACACAAAAACAUCGUCAACUGAGAGUUUAGAUACACUGCCAAAAUCUCGGUCCUUACAAUAGGAGCCGAUGAACCCGAUACCGUCGGAGAAAUAGCCGUCACCGGUGCUGCCGUCACCGCAGGAGGUGGUACUACAGGAGCAAUAGGUGCGGGCGGAUCCCUCAGCACAUAUGCCGCCGCCGCCGCCUGUCGCGCCACCAACUCAUGGAGCUGUCCAAUUUGCUCCCCCUGUUGCCGCAUAGCCCCGGCCAAUGCCGCUACUUGGGCUCGCAGCUCGCGCACUUCAUCUGAUCCCGAUUGCUUAGGCACCUCAUCUGGCAAUGCCAGAGUGGAUCUACGCGUGUAGUGCCUCAGGGACAUUUGUUCCUGAAACGUAUCACACGCAUUAGUACUCGACACAUGUGACUCUUACACGUUCCAAUCAACUACCCAAUUAAGCGAAAGCAAUCAAGUGUAAUUAUUUCCAACCCUUGGCAUCAUGUGGUCGGCCGCCCCACACAAACCCCUUAAGUAGAAAACAAAUAAACACUUGAAUCCAUCUCUAAUUCCUUUUAGAGAAGUACCAACAUAAACCCAAUCAAUUAGCUUCCGCUAUUACCAAGUCCACGUUAAACAUUUCCUAAGUCCCUAAGGUCUCCAAUCCUAGGGUUCCUAAGUCCAUCCUAGACCUUUACUUUCAUCCAAUCGCUCUGAUACCAUUAUAUCUGUCACGCCCCAAUCCCCGCCAAUUUGGUCGGGUUCGGGUCACGUUAACAGACGCCGAACGAACAGCAUCUCUCCUGUCCACCCAAGGCUCUAACAACGAGUACAAUUAAGCAAUCAACCAAAGAAAUUUGCAAUUAUACAAGGCUUGCACGAGGGCAAGCAACAACGGAAGCGAAAGCUCUAAGCUAAAUAUACAACCAUGCACAAUAUUUGAUUACAUUUAAACCAAAUACUUGUAACUAAAACUAUUACAUACAAUUUGCUUCCAUUCAAAGUUCUUUACAUCUUAAUCAUUCGACAAAAAAUACAUGAUUGUUGUCAACUUAAAUAGCUAUAGAUCAACAAAAUAAAAGUUGAUAUAUGUACACAAAGGAAUGACUAAAUGCAAUACUUCGGUGGCCACUAGCUAUGGCGCAAUACCCUUGCCUCGGUUCUCCGCCGGCCUGCUCGCGCUCGGACCUGUAGGGUUAGUUGUGUGAGAACUACAAUGAAGUUCUCAGUGGGUUCGGCAACCGACCUCGCCGACUUACCCACUAGGUCUAUUCAGGCAUAAGUAUUUCAAAGGAAAGAAAAACUAGUACUGUAACCAAUGCUAAUGCUAAUACUAUGCCUGCAAGAAAGAUGUCAGUGGAUAUAUAAUCAAAAUAGAAUGCUCAUGCAUACAUGCUUGUUGUGAGGAAGUGAAUUCUCGAAAUCCGAGAGAGCAAAUAGAAUGUACUUCAUCCAGGAUCGACUAACUGUCGAGAGAAUACCCUUUGGGGAAGUUAAAAAUGUCCAAAACACAAAAAGUGCUUUGGAGUUGAGUCUGUGAGAGCAAAUAAAAAAAAAAAAUCUGGACUUGGCAGAUUUUGCUCUCGGGGACCGGUCCCUGAAGGGGAGGACUGGUCCCCAUAGCUACAGUCGCGGGGUUGCCUAAUGCAACCGGUCCCUAGGCUGAGGGGACUUGUCCCUGUGUGCGACGCUAGCGUGAAAUGCCGAAAUUUGGCUAAGUCCUGAAAGUUCCCCUUUCGGGAAUCGGUCUCUCAGGAAGGACCGGUCUCCCAGGGAUCGGUCCCUCGGGUGAGGACCGGUUCUCGUACG
rnacentral:lncRNA from 1 species